CUGGCUCAGAUUGAACGCUGGCGGCAGGCCUAACACAUGCAAGUCGAGCGGAUGAAGAGAGCUUGCUCUCUGAUUCAGCGGCGGACGGGUGAGUAAUGCCUAGGAAUCUGCCUGGUAGUGGGGGACAACGUCUCGAAAGGGACGCUAAUACCGCAUACGUCCUACGGGAGAAAGCAGGGGACCUUCGGGCCUUGCGCUAUCAGAUGAGCCUAGGUCGGAUUAGCUAGUUGGUGAGGUAAUGGCUCACCAAGGCGACGAUCCGUAACUGGUCUGAGAGGAUGAUCAGUCACACUGGAACUGAGACACGGUCCAGACUCCUACGGGAGGCAGCAGUGGGGAAUAUUGGACAAUGGGCGAAAGCCUGAUCCAGCCAUGCCGCGUGUGUGAAGAAGGUCUUCGGAUUGUAAAGCACUUUAAGUUGGGAGGAAGGGUUGUAAAUUAAUACUCUGCAAUUUUGACGUUACCGACAGAAUAAGCACCGGCUAACUCUGUGCCAGCAGCCGCGGUAAUACAGAGGGUGCAAGCGUUAAUCGGAAUUACUGGGCGUAAAGCGCGCGUAGGUGGUUUGUUAAGUUGGAUGUGAAAGCCCCGGGCUCAACCUGGGAACUGCAUUCAAAACUGACAAGCUAGAGUAUGGUAGAGGGUGGUGGAAUUUCCUGUGUAGCGGUGAAAUGCGUAGAUAUAGGAAGGAACACCAGUGGCGAAGGCGACCACCUGGACNGA
rnacentral:rRNA from 1 species